GGUCCCAAGCGUUGUUCGGAAUCACUGUGCGUAAAGGGAGCGUAGGCGGCGUGGUAAGUCAGAUGUGAAAUCCCGGGGCUCAACCCCGGAACUGCAUCCGAUACUGCCAUGCUAGAGGAUUGGAGAGGUAGCUGGAAUUCUUGGUGUAGCAGUGAAAUGCGUAGAGAUCAAGAGGAACACGCGUGGCGAAAGCGAGCUACUGGACAAUUCCUGACGCUGAGGCUCGAAGGCUAGGGUAGCGAAAGGG
rnacentral:rRNA from 1 species